rnacentral:rRNA from 1 species
CAUAUCAAUAAGCGGAGGAAAAGAAACCAACAGGGAUUGCCCCAGUAACGGCGAGUGAAGCGGCAAGAGCUCAAAUUUGAAAUCUGGCCUCCCCCGGGGGUCCGAGUUGUAAUUUGCAGAGGAUGCUUCGGGCGCGGCCCCCGUCUAAGUUCCUUGGAACAGGACGUCAGAGAGGGUGAGAAUCCCGUCUUGGGCGGGCGGCCCGCGCCCGUGUGAAGCUCCUUCGACGAGUCGAGUUGUUUGGGAAUGCAGCUCUAAGCGGGUGGUAAAUUUCAUCUAAAGCUAAAUACCGGCCGGAGACCGAUAGCGCACAAGUAGAGUGAUCGAAAGGUUAAAAGCACCUUGAAAAGGGAGUUAAACAGCACGUGAAAUUGUUGAAAGGGAAGCGCUUGCGGCCAGACUCGGGGGGCGGGGUUCAGCGGGCGCUCGUCGCCCGUGCACUGCCCGCUCCCCGGGCCAGCAUCAGCUUCGACGGCCGGUCAAAGGCCCCCGGAAUGUGUCGUCUCUAGGGACGUCUUAUAGCCGGGGGUGCAAUGCGGCCCGUCGAGACUGAGGAACGCGCUCCGGCUCGGAUGCUGGCGUAAUGGCCGUAAGCGGC